rnacentral:rRNA from 1 species
GUGAGGAAUUUUCUGCAAUGGGCGAAAGCCUGACAGAGCAAUACCGCGUGAGGGAUGAAGGCCUACGGGUUGUAAACCUCUUUUUUCAAGGAGGAAGAUCUGACGUUACUUGAAGAAUAAGCAUCGGCUAACCCUGUGCCAGCAGCCGCGGUAAUACAGGGGAUGCAAGUGUUAUCCGGAAUCAUUGGGCGUAAAGCGUCUGCAGGUUGAUCUCUAAGUCUUUUGUUAAAUCUUUGGGCUUAACCCGAAAUCUGCAAAGGAAACUAUAGAUCUUGAGUAUAGUAGAGGGAAAGGGAAUUUUCAGUGGAGCGGUGAAAUGCGUAGAUAUUGGAAAGAACACCAACAGCGAAGGCACUUUCCUGGGCUAUUACUGACACUCAGAGACGAAAGCUAGGGGAGCAAACAGGAUUAGAAACCCUAGUAGUCC